AGAUUGAACGCUGGCGGCGUGCUUAACACAUGCAAGUCGAGCGGUAACGCGGGAGCAAUCCUGGCGACGAGCGGCGAACGGGUGAGUAAUGCUUGGGAAUCUGCCCAUUAGUGGGGAACAACCAGCCGAAAGGUUGGCUAAUACCGCAUACGCCCUACGGGGGAAAGCGGGGGAUCGUAAGACCUCGCGCUAAUGGAUGAGCCCAAGUCGGAUUAGCUAGUUGGUGGGGUAAUGGCCUACCAAGGCGACGAUCGGUAGCUGGUCUGAGAGGACGAUCAGCCACACUGGGACUGAGACACGGCCCAGACUCCUACGGGAGGCAGCAGUGGGGAAUAUUGGACAAUGGGGGCAACCCUGAUCCAGCCAUGCCGCGUGAGUGAUGAAGGCCUUCGGGUUGUAAAGCUCUUUUGGCGGGGACGAUGAUGACGGUACCCGCAGAAUAAGCCCCGGCUAACUUCGUGCCAGCAGCCGC
rnacentral:rRNA from 1 species